rnacentral:rRNA from 1 species
AUUGAACGCUGGCGGCAGGCCUAACACAUGCAAGUCGAACGAGUGGCGGACGGGUGAGUCAUGUCUGGGAAACUGCCUGAUGGAGGGGGCUAACUACUGGAAACGGUAGCUAAUACAGCAUACCAUCGGAUGUGCCCAUAGGGGAUUAGCUAGUAGGUGGGGUAACGGCUCACCUAGGCGACGAUCCCUAGCUGGUCUGAGAGGAUGACACGCCACACUGGAACUGAGACACGGUCCAGACUCCUACGGGAGGCAGCAGUGGGGAAUAUUGCACAAUGGGCGCAAGCCUGAUGCAGCCAUGCCGCGUGUAUGAAGAAGGCCUUCGGGUUUUAAAGUACUUUCAUCGGGGAGGCGUGACUCGAAGAAGAAGCACCGGCUAACUCCGGGCCAGCAGCCGCGGUAAUAC